GCGUGGGUGAAGAAGGUCUUCGGAUUGUAAAGCCCUUUCGACGGGGACGAUGAUGACGGUACCCGUAGAAGAAGCCCCGGCUAACUUCGUGCCAGCAGCCGCGGUAAUACGAAGGGGGCUAGCGUUGCUCGGAAUUACUGGGCGUAAAGGGCGCGUAGGCGGCACUGUUAGUCAGGCGUGAAAGUCCUGGGCUCAACCUGGGAACUGCGCUUGAUACGGCAGAGCUAGAGGAUGGAAGAGGGUCGCGGAAUUCCCAGUGUAGAGGUGAAAUUCGU
rnacentral:rRNA from 1 species